UACAGAGGGUGCAAGCGUUGUUCGGAAUUACUGGGCGUAAAGGGCGUGCAGGCGGCUUGUCAAGUCAGAUGUGAAAGCCCACGGCUCAACUGUGGAAGCGCAUUUGAAACUGGCAGGCUUGAGUACCAGAGGGGAAAGUGGAAUUCCCGGUGUAGAGGUGAAAUUCGUAGAUAUCGGGAGGAAUACCGGUGGCGAAGGCGACUUUCUGGCUGGAUACUGACGCUGAGACGCGAAAGCGCGGGGAGCAAACAGG
rnacentral:rRNA from 1 species